rnacentral:rRNA from 1 species
UUGAACGCUGGCGGCAGGCCUAACCCCUGCAAGUCGAACGGUAACAGGAAGAAGCUUGCUUCUUUGCUGACGAGUGGCGGACGGGUGAGUAAUGUCUGGGAAACUGCCUGAUGGAGGGGGAUAACUACUGGAAACGGUAGCUAAUACCGCAUAACGUCGCAAGACCAAAGAGGGGGACCUUCGGGCCUCUUGCCAUCGGAUGUGCCCAGAUGGGAUUAGCUAGUAGGUGGGGUAACGGCUCACCUAGGCGACGAUCCCUAGCUGGUCUGAGAGGAUGACCAGCCACACUGGAACUGAGACACGGUCCAGACUCCUACGGGAGGCAGCAGUGGGGAAUAUUGCACAAUGGGCGCAAGCCUGAUGCAGCCAUGCCGCGUGUAUGAAGAAGGCCUUCGGGUUGUAAAGUACUUUCAGCGGGGAGGAAGGGAGUAAAGUUAAUACCUUUGCUCAUUGACGUUACCCGCAGAAGAAGCACCGGCUAACUCCGUG